UACGGGAGGCAGCAGUGAGGAAUAUUGGUCAAUGGACGCAAGUCUGGACCAGCCACGUCGCGUGAAGGAAGACGGCCCUACGGGUUGUAAACUUCUUUUAUACGGGAAUAAAGUGCCCCACGUGUGGGGUUUUGCAAGUACCGUAUGAAUAAGGAUCGGCUAACUCCGUGCCAGCAGCCGCGGUAAUACGGAGGAUCCGAGCGUUAUCCGGAUUUAUUGGGUUUAAAGGGUGCUCAGGCGGGCCAUUAAGUCGGCGGUGAAAUUUUGCGGCUCAACCGUAAAAGUGCCUUCGAAACUGGUGGCCUUGAGUGUGGAUGAGGUAGGCGGAAUUUGUGGUGUAGCGGUGAAAUGCAUAGAUAUCACGAGGAACUCCGAUUGCGCAGGCAGCUUACUAAACCAUAACUGACGCUCAAGCACGAAGGCGUGGGGAUCAAACAGGAUUAGAUACCCUGGUAGUCCACGCAGUAAACGAUGAUUACUGGCUGUUUGCGAUAUAAUGUAAGCGGCUGAGCGAAAGCGUUAAGUAAUCCACCUGGGGAGUACGUUCGCAAGAAUGAAACUCAAAGGAAUUGACGG
rnacentral:rRNA from 1 species